rnacentral:rRNA from 1 species
GAUGAACGCUGGCGGCGUGCUUAACACAUGCAAGUCGAACGGUGAAGCAGGAGCUUGCUCCUGUGGAUCAGUAGCGAACGGGUGAGUAACACGUGAGCAAUCUGCCCUGGACUCUGGGAUAAGCGUUGGAAACGACGUCUAAUACCGGAUACGAGGCGUGGGGGCAUCCCCAACGCCUGGAAAGAACUUCGGUCCAGGAUGAGCUCGCGGCCUAUCAGGUAGUUGGUGAGGUAACAGCUCACCAAGCCUACGACGGGUAGCCGGCCUGAGAGGGUGCCCGGCAACACUGGGACGGUGACCCGGCGCAGCCUCCUACGGGAGGCAGCAGUGGGGAAUAUUGCACAAUGGGCGCAAGCCUGAUGCAGCAACGCCGCGUGAGGGACGACGGCCUUCGGGUUGUAAACCUCUUUUAGCAGGGAAGAAGCGAAAGUGACGGUACCUGCAGAAAAAGCACCGGCUAACUACGUGCCAGCCGCCGCCGUAAAAC